AUGAUUGCUCCCGUACCUCCACCAGAGACCUUCGUGACCCUUGACCCUCUGGGUGCCACCCUGGCGCUGGACAGCAGCCCCUUGCUGACCUCCAGGGACCCCCCCACCCCGCGUGAGGAGUCCACAGAGCUGCCUCUCCUGGAGCACCUCCGAUGACCCUCCCCGAGCCCCCCCCGCUCCCCCGACACUGGGCCACGGCCCUGGGGCCAAGGCACACACACACACACACCCUCCCAUCAGAUCUGAUGCGGUGGGGGCCCCGCCCUGCUGGACCAAUCCAAUAAAUCAAGGACCCCCAGUUUGGCUGGAGGUCGGAGCCCCGGGGGGAAACAAACCAAACUCAACUCGUCGGGCGUUCACGUUCUGUUGUCUGGACGCCCUUUUACCAGCGGCGUUCUCCUCGUCAGCCAAACGGGUGCCGCAGAUGCAUGCGAGAAGGUCGAGAGACUUCUGCAAACGACUUUAAUCCAGAGGCCGCCGUCGCUCUCGUGGGCCUUUGGGGGGGAGAGAGAGUAACGACGUUUGCGGCGAAAGGUUUCCAACCCAUGGGGGCGGGUCAACGCGACCAGGGCGAUCGUAAGGGACGUGUCGUUUCCAACUGAGAUUGUUUUUUUUGUUGUUUCGUUUUUCAUCGUAUUUUUUAUUUUUAUUUUGAGUCGGAGACAGAUUGCUCACUCCGACGCGGCUGGGCGGAGCAGCAGCAGCACUAUGAUCUGCCAGCCCUAAGGGGCCGUCUGACAUCAGCAGCAGCACUAUGAUCUGCCAGCCCUAAGGGACCGUCUGACAUCUGUAGCUGCUGUGUGUGCUGGUCGGACAUGGGCGACCAAAUGACAAAGACACUAAACAUGAUGCAAAUUGGGACACGCUGAUUGGUUCUCCCUGACGGAACCUGUCUCACAGCUGACCUGGUUCUUGUUCUCAGGCCAACACGUGGUGCUUCUACUGCCUAGUUUACACUCUAGUUAGUCUCCAAUGACUAGUUACGGCUAGGCCUGGUAACCAGUCCUAGGAGUGACUCUAGUGAGGCCUGGUAACCAGUCCUGGAUGUGGCUAGUUAUAGUUAGGCCUGGUAACCAGACCUAGUUGUGGCUAACUAUAGCCAUGGCUAGUGACGGGCCUAGAUAUCACGAGUUAAGCCUAGUAUCCAGUCUCAGAUGUGACUAGUUAUGCAUGGUAACUAGUCCCAGAAGCGGCUAUUGGGACUGGGCUCUAUGAUGAAACAUACUGACCAGUGACAUUGUGUUGAUCACAAGAACACUAACUGGAGUACUGAACACGCCUUGUGUUGUUUGAUUUGCUACGUUUUCUGGUGAGUGGAAUGUCCUUUUUUGUUUUUGUUUUUUUUACUUGAAGAAUCCCAGAUUCUCUGGUGUCGACGGUUCCCUGAGCUGCUCCUAUAGGCUGAUUGAUCCCGAGGCGGUUCCUAUAGGCGUACUGAUCAGCGCGUGUUUCGGCUGACUGGCCAAUGCCUCUCUCUGAGGAGCCGCGCUCAGCGCUACGUUUCUCUACUGCAGGGUCCAGCGCUGAAUUAGCAAGCGGCGCUACCAGACACACAAACACACACACACACCCGCACUCACACACAGCCACACCGACACCCACAAUCACUCACACACUUACAUGCACACACAGGCACCUCUUAUGUACUGGCCUGCAGUACGCCGCCCCCUAGCGUUGUACUACUGCUACUGCAUCUUCUGCUACUACUAACCUACCCUACAACUGCUGUGCAACCGUUACAUCCAGCGUUUUAGUUGGAAAUAAACAAAAAUUGAAUAAAGGUGGAAUAUUUAUUUGAGCAAUGUUUGUGUCAAGGGUAUGUUGUGAAUGGAUACAAGGGUUUUUCUGCUGAUCUUUUGAGUCUGGGGAUCAGAUUCUUCCUGUUAUGACUCCCUUCUCACACCUUCACACUCGCACACACUCUUGUUUGGUGUCAUUUUGGUCCUCUCGGCAACGGUUUUCUGAAGUAUGAUUUCUGACUGGAAGUGUUCCCCUGGGAGCCACCUGAGGUCGAUCUUGUUCCCACUCACACUUCACUACUGUUAUCAACACAUUAGAGGAGGUCUGAUUCCAGGAACCCUUGGCGUUCUGAUGGCAGGAAUCCUAGGAGUUCUGAUUGGAAGAAUCCAAGGUGUUCCUAUAUUUCCCCAAUUCAAAGAGCUCUGAAGAAUCAAAGGAGUGGUGAUUUUGGUAAUCCAAGGAGUUAUGUUUUCAAAAUCAUAGGUGUUCUGAUUUGAAUAAUCGCAGGAGUUCUGAUUUGAAGACUACCCAGGUGUUCUGAUUCCUUGGAUUUCUAUUUGAAGAAUCGUACGGGUUCCGAUUCCAGGCAUCCAAUUACUUCUGAUUUGAGAGUUCCAUUGGUUCUUGUUCUGAUAUCCCAGGGGUUCUGGUGUCUGGGGCCCAGCGGUCUGUGGUAGAUGACGUGUGGAACAGAAGCUGGCACUCUUGACAUCUGUUGCUCUCCUGCCCCCUAUGUGGCUGAGUGAAAGCUGUGAAUGACUUGGUGCAGUGUUAUGAUCCAUAAAGGCCUAUUUACCAGAGGACAGCCUUCUACACGGUUAUUAUCACACAAUGUAAUGGGCGAACCACAGGAAAAGCAUUCUCAGGGUUUCCACUGGGGAUAACCUCUUUUUACUUUCUUUUUGUUAUAUGUGGAAAUAUUAAAAAAUACAGGAAAAGGAGGAAUAGAAGAAGCAUAAUUUGUAGCACAGUCACGCAUUAAUUGGGUUUUGGUAAAGUCCCAGGUAUUAGUAUCUAUGAAUUAUGUGUUUACUUCAGCUUUUGGGUAGAUAUACUGAAUCACUUUGAACUGCUUUUUUUCCUUUCUCUCUUUAAGGACAUUUCUGGGCUUUGCUUAGAACCUUGAAUGUUUAGAACGGAUCUCUUGUUCAGCCGGUAAAGAGUUUGUAAAGUAUUACUAUUGCUAAGCACACUGAGGGCUACUCCAUCUUGAACAGGUCGGCGUCAUUCAACCAAUCCCAAUCAAACACUAGAGCAAGGCACAGCUAAUUGGACGGACCCAGGUGUCAAUCAAAAGGGAUGAUGUAGAUUCCUUUCAGUCUCUGUACAUGCGGUUUCUUUACAGCAUGUUUCGUAUAUAAAUUCCAUAUAUAUUUAAGAUAUACAAAUCUAUUUUAUAAUGUUUGGAUUUUCUUUCUUUUUUUUACAUGAAUGCUGUUUUUGUUGAGGCUUGGUGGAGAUUUGACUGAGCAAAGAGCUCACUAUGAAAUUGAGUUUCCUAUCAGUCAUUUUCGAAGAAUCAAUUCAUAACUUUUUUUUGCACAACUGUCCUUCCAUCCGACAUUAUUUUAUACUUUAGUUUUAAAAGGAGGGGAAAAGGUAUUUUUAUUUAAGUUAAUCAAUGUUCUGUACAUAUUUUUUGUCUUAUUUCACACUUCUCUUUAAAUUAAAGCUUUUGUGUCUUUUGUUU
ensembl:lncRNA